GAAUGGUGUGUGCGAGUCAAUGGUGUGUGUGAGUGAAAGGUCUGUGUGAGUGAAUGGUGUGUGUGUGAGUGAAUGGUGUGUGUGAGUGAAAGGUGUGUGUGAGUGAAUGGUGUGUGUGAGUGAAUGGUGUGUGUGAGUGAAAGGUGUGUGUGAGUGAAUGGUGUGUGUGAGUGAAUGGUGUGUGAGAGUGAAAGGUGUGUGUGAGUGAAUGGUGUGUGUGAGUGAAAGGUGUGUGUGAGUGAAUGGUGUGUGAGAGUGAAUGGUGUGUGUGAGUGAAUGGUGUGUGUGAGUGAAUGGUGUGUGAGAGUGAAUGGUGUGUGUGAGUGAAUGGUGUGUGUGAGUGAAUGGUGUGUGUGAGUGAAAGGUGUGUGUGAGUGAAUGGUGUGUGUGAGUGAAUGGUGUGUGUGAGUGCAUGGUGUGUGUGAGUGAAUGGUGUGUGUGA